UACAGAGGGGGCAAGCGUUGUUCGGAAUUACUGGGCGUAAAGAGCUCGUAGGCGGCUAAGUAAGUCAGGUGUGAAAACUCCAGGCUCAACCUGGAGACGCCACCUGAUACUGCUUUGGCUAGAGUCCGGUAGGGGAGCAUGGAAUUCCUGGUGUAGCGGUGAAAUGUGUAGAGAUCGGGAGGAACACCGGUGGCGAAGGCGGGUCUCUGGGCAAUUCCUGACGCUGAGGCGCGAAAGCGUGGGGAGCAAACGGG
rnacentral:rRNA from 1 species